rnacentral:rRNA from 1 species
GACGAACGCUGGCGGCGUGCUUAACACAUGCAAGUCGAACGGAAAGGCCCUGCUUUUGUGGGGUGCUCGAGUGGCGAACGGGUGAGUAACACGUGAGUAACCUGCCCUUGACUUUGGGAUAACUUCAGGAAACUGGGGCUAAUACCGGAUAGGAGCUCCUGCUGCAUGGUGGGGGUUGGAAAGUUUCGGCGGUUGGGGAUGGAUUCGCGGCUUAUCAGCUUGUUGGUGGGGUAGGGGCUUACCAAGGCUUUGAAGGGUAGCCGGCCUGAGAGGGUGACCGGCCACAUUGGGACUGAGAUACGGCCCAGACUCCUACGGGAGGCAGCAGUGGGGAAUAUUGCACAAUGGGCGGAAGCCUGAUGCAGCAACGCCGCGUGCGGGAUGACGGCCUUCGGGUUGUAAACCGCUUUCGCCUGUGACGAAGCGUGAGUGACGGUAAUGGGUAAAGAAGCACCGGCUAACUACGUG